GAUGAACGCUAGCGGCAGGCUUAACACAUGCAAGUCGAGGGGCAUCACGGGUAGCAAUACCUGGUGGCGACCGGCGCAAGGGUGCGUAACGCGUGAGCAACAUGCCCUAUACAGGGGGAUAAUCCAGGGAAACUUGGUCUAAUAUCCCAUAGCAUUUAGAGGUGGCAUCACCAUUAAAUUAAAGCUUCGGUGGUAUAGGAUUGGCUCGCGUGACAUUAGCUAGAUGGUGGGGUAACGGCUCACCAUGGCUAUGAUGUCUAGGGGUUCUGAGAGGAAGACCCCCCAACUGGGACUGAGACACGGCCCAGACUCCUACGGGAGGCAGCAGUGAGGAAUAUUGGACAAUGGAUGGAAAUCUGAUCCAGCCAUGCCGCGUGCAGGAAGACGGCCCUAUGGGGUUUAAACGUGCUUUUAAUGGGACAAUAAGGUCUACGAGUAGACCGAUGAGAGUACCAUUAUGAAUAAGCAUCGGA
rnacentral:rRNA from 1 species